CAAUAGCGUAUAUUAAAGGUGUUGCGGAGAACGCAACUGCACUUUUUGGAGAACGCAACUGCACUUGACUGUGUGGUGUGGUAUCCAGGACUUAUUUUGUGGAAAUUAGAAAGUUUCAAGCAGGCGCACGCCUUGAAUGCAUUAGCAUGGAAUAAUAAGAUAGGACCUUGGUUCUAUUUUGUUGGUUUCUAGAGCUGAGGUAAUGAUUAAUAGGGAUAGUUGGGGGCAUUCUUGUUUAAUUGUCAGAUGUAAAAUUCUUGGAUUUGUUAAAGACGGACUACUGCGAAAUCAUUUGCCAAUGAUGUUUUCAUUGCUCAAGAACGAAAGUUAGGGGAUCGAAGAUGAUCAGAUACCA
rnacentral:rRNA from 1 species